rnacentral:lncRNA from 1 species
CUCAGGAAACACGGGCCCUUGUCACUGAACGAGCCUGGGGAGAGCAGCUUCUGUCAGCAGGAGCACCCAGCCCAGAGGACUGUAAACACGAUGGGACCUGGACCCUAGAAACAGAGCGCCGACGGGCACCUGACUUCCGGCGGCCCGCUCCUCCUCUUCCGUUCACCUCCGUCCCUUUGCGCUGCUGGCUGGAGCUGAGGGCGGGAUAGCGAAUCAAAGAGC